CUGACAGCCCUAAUUGAGAGUCAGGUCUGCAUUCUAGAAUGCUUCCUUGGUUAUCCCCAUGAUCUUAUUUUCCAACUUGUGAAUUGUGAUCUUAUCUGAAAUCAUCUAUACCCUGUAGAUCUUCUGCUUGCAUGGUGGGCUUUCCCCAUCUUUAGAUGCAUUGGAUAAUAUCCGUGCCUUGGAUCGUAUACAAGAGGUACACUUAUAUAAUGUUAUUUCUUUAGCAAUUUUGUUUCUUCAACAGUUUCUUGAGCCUCUUUUAGUUGCUUUUAAAAUUUAUUACUAAUAUUGAUUUUUCGUUAUCAUAUUUGUGUGUAAACUAAAACCGAUUUACGUGAUCUGAUAACUAUAUGAGAAGGUUAAAAGCCAAAACAUUUGCACUAGCUAAUAUUUCUGCUGAUAGUAUUUUGCUUAAAAAUUUGGAUAAUUUUAUCUGAUUAUGGGGAGCCAAUAACCUUAUUCUUCCUGUCAGAAGUAAAACUGGCAUACACUUUUGCUGCUGAAUUAAUUUAAAUAUUCAUUGAUUUGUUCCUCCUUUCCAUAUUUGAAUUUUUUCCCAUGUUGUGCAUUGUUUGUUGUGCUGGAGAUUUUGAGUAAACAAAACAAGCAAUGUCAUGGAAAAUUGGCUUAAAUAGAGAAUUAAAUCUUCCAAGACAACUUAGGUGAAGGUCAGUGACUUAGUAAAUGAUAUAACUAAAGCAAGCUCUGUCAGUUGAUUUCUUAAUAUUUUUUUUGGUGUGCUAGAGAUGACUAACUGGUGUUGUUUCUUUUAUGUGACUUUCCUAUAAUUUUGCCUGUCUAAUUGGCUUCUUUGUGAUAUCAUGGAUGGUUAGGUUCCUCAUGAAGGUCCAAU
rnacentral:misc_RNA from 1 species